rnacentral:lncRNA from 1 species
GCCAACUUCUUCUUCCAAUUGAAAGCUUCCAUUUCCUAAUUUUGCAAGGUGAGCUCUUUGCUUUAUUUUGCCUUUUCGUGAUUUUGUCCUUGUAAAGAAAGGCCUAAUGAGUCAGAGCGUUCAAAUCAGCGCAAUGGUUCACUGAAGGAUGUUAAUGAAAAUGUUAUUAAUUCUUGAUAGCAUAUUGGAGGCACAAACGUUAUUAUUUAUUUAUUUAUUAAUUGUGUUUGUGCUAAUAAUUUAGUUGGUUAUGCAUUCUUAUUGAAACCUUUUUACAUAUGUAUAGUUGAGCUUUUUCUAAAUGGGUCGCCGAUGAAAAUAUGCAAGCUUAGAAGAAGCGUAUGAAGAAAGGAUUAGAAAGAGACGUGAGCAACGAGCCAGUCCGAGUGCUAAGCAUGACUGUGGUAGAUAUCAAGGUGUAUGUAUUAUGGCUAUAAGUGCAUUUAACAUAUGCGAAUCGAGCAUGACGAGGA